AUGUUCUCUGUAGCUCUGCUGCUGCUGCUGGCUGCUGGAUCCUGUGUGAGGUGUCAACAGCUUACACAACCAGCCUCUAAAAAGGUCCAGCCAGGCCAGAGUCUAACAAUUAGAUGUCAGGUCUCUUAUGCUGUGGAUAGUUCUGGUUAUUCUACAUCAUGGAUCAGACAGCCUGCAGCUAAGGGACUGGAGUGGAUUGGUAGAAAAGGUGGUGGAUAUUCCACAGAGUACAAAGAUUCCCUGAAGAACAAGUUCAGCAUUGAUGUAGACACUUCUAGCAGAACAGUGACUUUAAAUGGACAGAAUCUGCAGCCUGAAGACUCUGCAGUGUAUUACUGUGCCAGAGACACACAGUGA